rnacentral:rRNA from 1 species
GCUUGUCUCAAAGAUUAAGCCAUGCAUGUCUAAGUAUAAAUGUUAUACAGUGAAACUGCGAAUGGCUCAUUAAAACAGUUAUAGUUUAUUUGAUAAUCGAAUUUACAUGGAUAACCGUGGUAAUUCUAGAGCUAAUACAUGCUGGUUAGCCUGACUUUUAGGAAGGGCUGUAUUUAUUAGAUAAAAAACCAAUGCAGGCAACUGCUCUCUUGGUGAUUCAUAGUAACUUUUCGGAUCGCACGACUUCACGUUGGCGACAGUUCAUUCAAAUUUCUGCCCUAUCAGCUUUCGACGGUACUGUAGUGGACUACCGUGGCAUUAACGGGUGACGGAGAAUUAGGGUUCGAUUCCGGAGAGGGAGCCUGAGAAACGGCUACCACAUCCAAGGAAGGCAGCAGG